rnacentral:rRNA from 1 species
CAGCCGCCGCGGUAAUACGUAGGGCGCAAGCGUUGUCCGGAAUUAUUGGGCGUAAAGAGCUCGUAGGCGGCUUGUCACGUCUGCUGUGAAAUCCCGGGGCUCAACCCCGGGCGUGCAGUGGAUACGGGCUGGCUAGAGGCAGGCAGGGGAGAACGGAAUUCCCGGUGUAGCGGUGAAAUGCGCAGAUAUCGGGAGGAACACCGGUGGCGAAGGCGGUUCUCUGGGCCUGUUCUGACGCUGAGGAGCGAAAGCGUGGGGAGCAAACGGGAUUAGAUACCCCUGUAGUCCCUGUCUCUUAUAC